ACUCCUACGGGAGGCAGCAGUGGGGAAUUUUGGACAAUGGGCGAAAGCCUGAUCCAGCAAUGCCGCGUGAGUGAAGAAGGCCUUCGGGUUGUAAAGCUCUUUUGUCAGGGAAGAAACGGUGAAAGCUAAUAUCUUUUGCUAAUGACGGUACCUGAAGAAUAAGCACCGGCUAACUACGUGCCAGCAGCCGCGGUAAUACGUAGGGUGCAAGCGUUAAUCGGAAUUACUGGGCGUAAAGCGUGCGCAGGCGGUUUUGUAAGUCUGAUGUGAAAUCCCCGGGCUCAACCUGGGAAUUGCAUUGGAGACUGCAAGGCUAGAAUCUGGCAGAGGGGGGUAGAAUUCCACGUGUAGCAGUGAAAUGCGUAGAUAUGUGGAGGAACACCGAUGGCGAAGGCAGCCCCCUGGGUCAAGAUUGACGCUCAUGCACGAAAGCGUGGGGAGCAAACAGGAUUAGAAACCCGUGUAGUCCCAUG
rnacentral:rRNA from 1 species